rnacentral:rRNA from 1 species
UACGUAGGGCGCAAGCGUUAUCCGGAAUUAUUGGGCGUAAAGAGCUCGUAGGCGGUUUGUCGCGUCUGCCGUGAAAGUCCGGGGCUCAACUCCGGAUCUGCGGUGGGUACGGGCAGACUAGAGUGAUGUAGGGGAGACUGGAAUUCCUGGUGUAGCGGGUGAAAUGCGCAGAUAUCAGGAAGAACACCCGUGGCGAAGGCGGCUCUCUGGGACGGUACUGACGCUGAGACGCGAAAGCGUGGGGAGCGAACAGG